GAUGAACGCUGGCGGCGUGCCUAAUACAUGCAAGUCGAGCGGACGGACGAGAAGCUUGCUUCUUGGUUGUUAGCGGCGGACGGGUGUGUAACAUGUGUAUAACCUACCUAUCUGACUGGGAUAACUUCGGGAAACCGGCUCAUAUACCAUAUAAUAUUCUGAACCACAUUGUUCGAUGGUGAAAGUCGGCGUUGCUGUAUCUUAUAGCUGGUUACGCGCUGGAUGAGCUGGUUGGUAAGGUAACGGCUUACCAAGGCAACGAUGCAUAGCCGACCUGAGAGGGUGAUCGGCCACACUGGAACUGAGACACGGUCAAGACUCCUACGGGAGGCAGCAGUAGGGAAUCGUCCGCAAUGGGCGAAAGCCUGACGGAGCAACGCCGAGUGUGUGAUGAAGGUCUUCGGAGCGUAAAACUCUGUUAUUAGGGAAGAACCUAUGUGUAAGUAACUGUGCACAUCUUGACGGUACCUAAUCAGAAAGCCACGGCUAACUACGUG
rnacentral:rRNA from 1 species